UACGUAGGGGGCGAGCGUUGUCCGGAGUUACUGGGCGUAAAGGGCACGCAGGCGGUCUUUUUCAGUUCGGAGUGACAGUCGUCGGCUUACCUGACGAAGGCCUCGGAAGACGGGAAGACUUGAGGGCUCACGAGGGACACGGAAUUCCGGGUGGAGUGGUGAAAUGCGCAGGAUAUCAGGAGGAACACCGGUGGCGAAGGGCGGGU
rnacentral:rRNA from 1 species